rnacentral:rRNA from 1 species
AUUGAACGCUGGCGGCAGGCCUAACACAUGCAAGUCGAGCGGAUGAAGGGAGCUUGCUCCUGGAUUCAGCGGCGGACGGGUGAGUAAUGCCUAGGAAUCUGCCUGGUAGUGGGGGAUAACGUCCGGAAACGGGCGCUAAUACCGCAUACGUCCUGAGGGAGAAAGAGGGGGAUCUUCGGACCUCACGCUAUCAGAUGAGCCUAGGUCGGAUUAGCUAGUUGGUGGGGUAAAGGCCUACCAAGGCGACGAUCCGUAACUGGUCUGAGAGGAUGAUCAGUCACACUGGAACUGAGACACGGUCCAGACUCCUACGGGAGGCAGCAGUGGGGAAUAUUGGACAAUGGGCGAAAGCCUGAUCCAGCCAGGCCGCGUGUGUGAAGAAGGUCUUCGGAUUGUAAAGCACUUUAAGUUGGGAGGAAGGGCAGUAAGUUAAUACCUUGCUGUUUUGACGUUACCAACAGAAUAAGCACCGGCUAACUUCGUG